UGGAGAUGCUGGGUAUUGAUAUCAGUACCUCGCAUGAUAAGCGAGCGCUCUACCAUCUGAGAUACAUCCCC
rnacentral:tRNA from 1 species